rnacentral:lncRNA from 1 species
UCUCUUCAGAACUAGACAAAUCCUAAACAAAUCCGCCGAGGCUGUCCUCUAAGGCUUUCGUCUCUCUCGUCUUCAAACUAUCCGGCAUCGACGAACUGUUUUGCUUACUCCGACGAAGGAAUUCUGACGAAGGACAACCAUUUCGGCUAAUAUAAGGGAAUCUCAGAUGUAGAUUAUCAGUAUUUUUCCAUGUUCAUGGUUGUUCGCUUUCGUUAUUGUUUCACCGGAAAAUUGUUCGCCGCUUCUUCUGCUUUCUUUCUCUAGUAAGAUUUCAUCUAAACCCAUUAAUUUACUCUGUCCUUUGUUUGUAUUAUAUGAUUUCUAGUUUUUGAUUUCAUCUAAACCCAAUUUUUUUUGAUUUCUAGUUUGUAAAACUGUAAUUAUCUAGUUAGUUGGAAAAAUAAGUUAAACUUUAUUUAGGGUUUUUGAGGUAUUUUCAGUUGAUCUGACUAACGGGAAGGAUUUGAGCACCAAAAUACAUGAUCUGUCAUUUUAUACUAUCGACAGACUAUACAAGCAUAGUGUUACAUUAAGGGCUUUCUUAUUAUUUGUUGCUACUUGACUCUUCGUGUUAUCGAUCACAUUUUAUCUAUUAGUUUUAUGUGUUGUUACUGUCUGUCCUUUUGCAUUUGCCUAAUUUCCAUGAACUUCCACUCUACAAACCUAUUCAUCAGUGUGAAGACACUCUUAGUGCACUCAAAUCCCAAUGCUGCAACUAGUUGUCUCUGUAUGUAAUUAGCCACCUCAUAGCUAGAAUUUCCACCAGCACAAGUCAAAUCUUUGGGAAUUUUUCCAAUGAUCUCAAUAGUGUAAGAAGGUCUUGGAUUCAUCAAGAAGAAAAUAGGGUCCAAACACUUGAGACCACUAGCAGCAGUCCCAUAAAACAUGGUCACAUUUGUGUUCAUAGCCACAAAUGUACAAUCUCAUCAGCUAAUUCUGCAAACAAGGAGCUGAACCUUAAAAGAUAUGGCUUCCUGCAUGUGGUUCCUUUUAGACAAACAACUAAGUCACCUGUAAGAUAAUACAAAUAACAGACAGUAAAAAAAAUUACUUUUAAGACGUGAUUAAAUAGCUAAUUGUCCAUGUACAAAAAUAUACAUACAAGUCCAUAUAUUAAAUUUUUCGAACAUUACCUUCGCUAAAUAUUGCUAAUAGUAUUCCAAUUGGAAGCCAAAUGAACAUGGCUAAUGUUGCAAGAGGUGUAGGUAGAAAAGCUAGCCUUCCAUCAUGAAAUACUAGUGGCUUUGGAUAUUUCUCCCUUGCCAAUACUGAACUACUACUUUUUUUGUCCUCCUUGUUUACCACGUAAGCUUCCUGUUCAAUAGAAAGAUGUAUUUAGACACACUAAAAAAGAAAAAAAAUAUUGAUAUAAAGUAGAUUACAAUGAGUAAUAAAAUGUUGUUGACUUAAAUCACCAUUUUUCGCUUAAUGAGUUAACUAAAAGUGCACAGUCCUCGGCCUUGAAAUCGUAAAUUAUUACACAAUCAAACAUCUUGUUGUGAUAUCCCUGAACUAGAUACUAAUCCAGUAAAAUAACUCCUAACAGUAUGCAACUCAGUUCCUUUAACACAAUCAACACUCAAAUACUCUUUAAGAAAAUCUUCCACCAUAACUCUAGGCACACUAGUGAAAACCACCCUACACCCUGCUGAUUUUAAAACCUCAUAAACAUGAACAUUUAAAUUUUCAAGAUAAAACUUAGGCAAAACAGCUCUUCCAACACUGUCCAUGUCCUUUAAUCUUAACUCACAAAAUGUAAUAAAGAUCAUAACUCUUAGUUUAAGUUCAUAAUCAAGAACCAAUAAAAGGGGACUUGACAAAAGUAAGAACAAGGCUCUAAAAAUGCUACCACCUUCAAAAGCAACUAACAUGAAAUAUGGAAAAAAAGAUUCAGAUCUAAGAAGUGUGCCUUGAAUGUCACAUGCAACUGUUUUUAAUUUUCUCCCAUAUAAAGUACACUUGCUUAUACUAGGGUACAAAGGAAUUUGAUGAGAUGAUCUAAAUGAUGAGUUUCUGGAAAAGAAACCAGAGUCUUUAACUUUUACUACAACUUUGUAACAUGAUUUUUUUAUUAAGAGUAUGUAAAUCAAUUUUAUAAUAUUUAUUUUGGUGUCAUAUAGGAUAAAAGUAAUUUAAUGGAUAACGGAGAUAAAAGGUGAAUGGGCCUUUGAAGGCCAACUGAUGAGUACAUACAAUGAGUGAAUAAAUUUCUUAAUAAAGCAUUUGAAUGAGCUUCCCAAGGAAAUCAAAUAUUAUGCCCUUGUAAAGAGUGCGCUAAUUGUUUUUGGCAUCAUAGGAAUGUGGUGGAAGACCACUUGAUUGUUAAUAGUUUUGUUCAUGGAUACAACAAAUGGGUUUUUCAUGGGAAAGAAUUUUCCUCGAGAAAGACUCCAUGCCCAAGCAGUAAUGAUAAUGGUUCUGACAUGUAUGACGAUAUUGAUGGAUUACUUCAUGAUACAUUUUGAAGUGUCAAGGCUGAUUCGGGACAUACAGUGUAACGACCCAGCCAGUCGUUUCAUGAUUUACCACUCUAUUUCCCCCAUUUUUGCUUCUUUAUGUCUUGUUUAGCUGUAUUAUAUGGUAUCAGGUUAGUUGAUUCGGGUUCAAAAUGGUUUUGGAGAGGUUUGAGACACUUAGUUUUUUUGAGUAAGCUUAAAUUAAAAAAGUCAACAAGACGUUAACUUAUGUGAAAAAGAGCUCGGAUGUGAAUUCUGAUGAUUUAGAUAGUUUUGUUAGGUGAUUUGGGACUUAGGAGCAUGAUCAGAAUUUAAUUUGGAAGUUCGUGGUAGAUUUAGGCAUGAAUUAGCGAAAUUGAAAUUUUGGUGUUUUCUGGUCGAUAGUGAAAUUUUUUAUAUCGGGGUCGGAAUAGAAUUUCAAGAGUUACAGUAGGUCCGUUGUGUCAUAUGAGAUGUGUGUGCAAAAUUGCAAGUCAUUCGGGCGUGGUUUAAUAGACUUUUUGAUUGUUUGCGGAAUUUGGAAGUUUUGGAAAUCUUAGGCUUGAAUCCGAGGGUGUUUUGAUAAUUCGAUGUUGUUUGGAGUGUUCUGGAGGUUGGUAUAAGUUUAAAUAGUGUAAUAUGACUUGUUUGUAUUUUUGGUUGAGGUCUCGGGGGCCUCGGGGUAAUUUCGGGUGGUUGACGAGAGGUUUGAAGUUGGAAUUAGCUGCUGAAGUGCUGAAGCUCUUGUCAUAACCAUACAUGCACCUUGGAGACCGUAGGUGCGGGCCCGCAGAAGCAAAAAAGGGAAUGCAGAUGCAGACAAAGGAAUGGAUGACUAUAGACGCAGAUGGGGGGUUUUAAUCACAGGUGCGAUCCUUGGGAGGAUAAGUGGAAUCCGCACAUGUGCACCUGGGACCGCAGAUGCGAGAUUUCGACCGCAAAAGUUGUUUAGCUAGGGCAAAACAUAUAAAUUUAGCCCUUCGCGAUUUUUGAGUGGGUUUUCACCAUUUUCAUGCGGGUUUGAGCUUGGGAGAGAAAUUUGAAGAGAGAAUUCAAGAAGGUUUCGUGGAGGUAAGAUUUUUGGACCCUAAACUUAUUUCUAUGAUGGUUUUUGACUAAUUAAGUUUGAAAUCUAUGGAAAUUAGUAGCAGAAAUUGGGGGUUUAGGGCUUGGAAAUUGGAGACCCUAAUCUAGGGAUUUGAGGGGUCAUUUGUGGUGGGAUUUUGGUAUUCUUAGUAUGUAUGAACUCGUGAGAGUGUAAGGAUUGUAGUUUUAUGAAUUUUAUCAGAAUCCGAGAUGUGGGUUAGGGGUCGGGUUUGACCUAUUUCAGGAUUUGUGAUGUAAUUUGAUUAUUUUCGCAUGGGUUUUGUCCCCUGAGUAUAUAUUGAUGUUAUGGUUCUGAUUUUGGUUAGAUUCGGGGCAUUUGGAGGCCGAAUCAAGAGGAAAGGGCGUUGCGGGCUAGAAUUUGGCUUGGCUUGAGGUAAGUAACGCUUCCAAACUUGGUUCUGAGGGCUCGAAACCCCAAACUAUGUGUUCUAUGAUUACUAUUUAGGUAACACAAUUCCAUGUAACGGGUGUGUGGGCGUGCACCGUGAGAAAUGUGGCCUGGAUCAUUCCAUGGCACCGCUUAGUGAAUCUUUUAUACUGAUAUCUGUGUCGUAAUUAUGUAAUUAAGUUAAUAAGCUACAAAUCUUGCUAAUUAUCAUGUUAAGGCUUCAUGCCAACCUUGUUGAGACCCGAGAGAUCGUUUCUUGUUGUCAUGUAAUUAGCUUCAUUUAUAUCCUAUAAUCAAUCCUGUUCAUGCAUAUUAUAUCAUGCCUCAGUCUCGAUUACUGCGUCUAUAGACAUAUCAUAUCAUUUUUCGGGCUUGUAUCAUGAUUUUGUUAGCCCGUGUGUGCGAUGCUAGAGAGUAUUCACUAAGUGAGGCCGAGAGCCUGAUAUUGAUUGACGAUAUGGGAUCGGGCUGCACGUGCAGCGAGAUAUUGAUCAUUCCUUCGUUGACAUUGAUAUAGUGCUUGGGCUCAGAGAAGCGCAAUUGAUGAUAUUGAGGGAUGGAUCUUCCAUGGACAUGGAUCUUGUCCGAAGUAUUGGUAUGGAGAUGGAUCUUCUCCGUGAGGCUGGAUUGGUCUGUUUCCUCGGUACUGGGUGCCUUAUAGUCAGUGAUGUAUAUAUUCUGGGAUGAAUCUUCCCUGGGCCAUAUACAGUACCAAGUGGUUGAGCAUUGUGCGUGGAAGUAUUAUACGCAACAAUGAUCAUGCUAUCUUUGCAUUGGUACUUAGGGGUACUUGAGCUUUAUACUCUGCAUUGUUCAUACUAUGUUGGACUUGGGUCGUCACUAUCGUCAAUCCAUAGUUUGGACUUGUUACUUACUGAGUUGGUGUACUCACGUUACCCCCUGCAACCCUGUGUGCAGAUCCAGGUAUCUCGGGGCACGGUAGUAGUUGUUGAUCACACCAGUUGGAGACAUUCUGUAGAGAUUGCGAGGUAGCUGCUUGGCGAC